rnacentral:rRNA from 1 species
GUGAGGAAUUUUCCGCAAUGGGCGAAAGCCUGACGGAGCAAUGCCGCGUGAAGGAUGAAGGCCUAUGGGUUGUAAACUUCUUUUCUCAGAAAAGAAUUAUGACGGUAUCUGAGGAAUAAGCAUCGGCUAACUCUGUGCCAGCAGCCGCGGUAAGACAGAGGAUGCAAGCGUUAUCCGGAAUGAUUGGGCGUAACGCGUCUGUAGGUUGUUUAAAAAGUAUUCUGUCAAAGAUUAGGGCUUAACCCUAGAUAGGCAGAAUAAACUUUUAAGCUAGAGUGUGGUAGAGGCAGAGGGAAUUCCCGGUGGAGCGGUGAAAUGCGUAGAUAUCGGGAGGAACACCAAAGGCGAAGGCACUCUGCUGGGCCAAUACUAACACUGAGAGACGAAAGCGAGGGGAGCAAAUGGGAUUAGAAACCCUUGUAGUCC